AGUGAACGCUGGCGGUAGGCCUAACACAUGCAAGUCGAACGGCAGCACAGUAAGAGCUUGCUCUUACGGGUGGCGAGUGGCGGACGGGUGAGGAAUACAUCGGAAUCUACUUUUUCGUGGGGGAUAACGUAGGGAAACUUACGCUAAUACCGCAUACGACCUACGGGUGAAAGCAGGGGAUCUUCGGACCUUGCGCGAUUGAAUGAGCCGAUGUCGGAUUAGCUAGUUGGCGGGGUAAAGGCCCACCAAGGCGACGAUCCGUAGCUGGUCUGAGAGGAUGAUCAGCCACACUGGAACUGAGACACGGUCCAGACUCCUACGGGAGGCAGCAGUGGGGAAUAUUGGACAAUGGGCGCAAGCCUGAUCCGGCCAUACCGCGUGGGUGAAGAAGGCCUUCGGGUUGUAAAGCCCUUUUGUUGGGAAAGAAAAGCAGCAGGUUAAUACCUCGCUGUUCUGACGGUACCCAAAGAAUAAGCACCGGCUAACUUCGUG
rnacentral:rRNA from 1 species